CCGAGUGGCGGACGGGUGAGUAACGCGUGGGUAACCUGCCUCAUACAGGGGGAUAACGGUUAGAAAUGACUGCUAAUACCGCAUAAGCGCACAGUACCACAUGGUACGGUGUGAAAAACUCCGGUGGUAUGAGAUGGACCCGCGUCUGAUUAGCUGGUUGGUGGGGUAACGGCCCACCAAGGCGACGAUCGGUAGCCGGACUGAGAGGUUGAACGGCCACAUUGGGACUGAGACACGGCCCAG
rnacentral:rRNA from 1 species